UACGUAGGGGGCUAGCGUUGUCCGGAAUUACUGGGCGUAAAGCGUGCGUAGGUGGUGAGUUAAGUCUGUCGUGAAAGCCCCGGGCUCAACCUGGGAAUGGCGAUGGAUACUGGCUCGCUAGAGUGCGGUAGAGGAGAGUGGAAUUCCCGGUGUAGCAGUGAAAUGCGUAGAGAUCGGGAGGAACAUCAGUUGCGAAGGCGGCUCUCUGGACCAGCACUGACACUGAGGCACGAAAGCGUGGGGAGCAAACAGG
rnacentral:rRNA from 1 species